GGGGGGSSWRCAGUAGGGAAUCUUCCGCAAUGGACGAAAGUCUGACGGAGCAACGCCGCGUGAGUGAUGAAGGUUUUCGGAUCGUAAAGCUCUGUUGUUAGGGAAGAACAAGUGCAAGAGUAACUGCUUGCACCUUGACGGUACCUAACCAGAAAGCCACGGCUAACUACGUGCCAGCAGCCGCGGUAAUACGUAGGUGGCAAGCGUUGUCCGGAAUUAUUGGGCGUAAAGGGCUCGCAGGCGGUUUCUUAAGUCUGAUGUGAAAGCCCCCGGCUCAACCGGGGAGGGUCAUUGGAAACUGGGAAACUUGAGUGCAGAAGAGGAGAGUGGAAUUCCACGUGUAGCGGUGAAAUGCGUAGAGAUGUGGAGGAACACCAGUGGCGAAGGCGACUCUCUGGUCUGUAACUGACGCUGAGGAGCGAAAGCGUGGGGAGCGAACAGGAUUAGUACCCCGCGGGUGAAGYNA
rnacentral:rRNA from 1 species